UACGUAGGGGGCUAGCGUUGUCCGGAAUCAUUGGGCGUAAAGCGCGUGUAGGCGGUCCGGUAAGUCCGCUGUGAAAGUCGAGGGCUCAACCCUCGAAUGCCGGUGGAUACUGUCGGGCUAGAGUACGGAAGAGGCGAGUGGAAUUCCUGGUGUAGCGGUGAAAUGCGCAGAUAUCAGGAGGAACACCAAUUGCGAAGGCAGCUCGCUGGGACGUUACUGACGCUGAGACGCGAAAGCCAGGGGAGCAAACGGG
rnacentral:rRNA from 1 species